rnacentral:lncRNA from 1 species
AUCGAAGAUGAAAUUUAUUUCUUGUGUAUUGUUCUUAUUAUAACAUAAAGAAAAACUCUUUCACAAAGAGUCUCAUAAUUUUCCGAAUUGUGCUUUUCUCGAAAAUAUAUUAUAUGUAUGGACGGAUUAUUGUUUAACUUACAUUGGCAAAUCAAAUGAAAAUUGAGAUCAGAUCGAUGGGAUUUGAAUAUGAACCCUGCUUUGCACAACGAG